rnacentral:rRNA from 1 species
UACGGGAGGCAGCAGUGGGGAAUAUUGCACAAUGGAGGAAACCCUGAUGCAGCGACGCCGCGUGAGUGAAGAAGUAUUUCGGUAUGUAAAGCUCUAUCAGCAGGGAAGAUAAUGACGGUACCUGACUAAGAAGCACCGGCUAAAUACGUGCCAGCAGCCGCGGUAAU